CAAAGCAGUCUUCAGCAAACAAUUCUAGCCUUCUCCAACUUGGGCGAGAACAAAUAUCCACAACAAUAUUCCAAAAGGAGCCAGAUCCAACAGGAUGCCCCAGCUGCCGACUCCACCGCCCUUAUCCAGCAAGCACACCAGCACACGGUUACUUUGCAGGGAGCUCCAGCUCCACGCAGCGCGCCCCAUUCGCCUCUCCCGGCUGGAGCCUGGAGGUGCCCAGCCCCUCUCACGCCCGGUCAACUUCGCCAGCGCCCCACGCAGAGCACUCAAAACUAGAAGAAACAGAAGUCGAGAGAGAAGGAGGAGAGAGAAGGAGAGACACCUGCAGCACUGUUUGAUCCCUCAUGAAACUCACAGCCACCAAGUUGCAGAUGCUAUCAUGAUGCCAACCUGACUUCCUUGGGCAGAAGACCUCACCAAUAUGUCCUGGAAUCCACCUCUCCAGAUCCCUACGCUACUAGAGAAAUACAGAAACAGGCUGGAGGUAUGGAUUGAACUGUCAACACCCAUGUCCAGCAGAGAAGCAAUUACAGAAGCCAGAACUCCCACCUUCUGCACCCCAUAAAGAUCUCUGGUCCAUACUUCCAGAGGGAUAAAGAAUAGGGAACCUUCCAAUGGAGGGGAUGCAGAACUCUGGUAGUAGGAAUUGUGUGGAACUGUACCCCUCUUAUCCUAUGGUCUUUUCGACCAUUAUUAAAUCAAUUUUAAAGAUCCUAGUAGUAAUAAAGAAAAAGAGGAGAGUGGUAAAUGAUUCCAUUCCUAUAGGGGGGUUGAAUUGUUAUGUGGAAAACUGAGAAAUGUGAACAGGGAUAGACAGCAUAAUGGUUAUGCAAAGAGACUCUUACUCCUGAGGCCUCAAAGUCUCAGGUUCGUGGUGAAUUCACCUUCUUUACCCCAUCUUGGAUGGAGUUCGAAGAUAUCAUGUAAAGUGAGAUAGUCAGAAACAAAAGGAUGAAUAUGGGAUGAUCUCACUCAUAGACAGAAGUUGAAAAACAAGAUCAGAAGGGGAAACUCUAAACAGAACUUGGACUGGAGCUGGUAUAUUGCACCAAAGUAAAAGACUGGGGUGGAGGGAGGGUUCAGGUCCUGGAUCAUGAUGGCAGAGGAGGACCUAGUGCAGGAUGUAUUGUUAUAUGGAAAUAUUGUGCAUGGGGGCCAGGUGGUGGCGCACCUGGUUGAGCACACAUGUUACAAUGUGCAAGGACCCAGGUUCAAGCCCCCAUUCCCCACCUGCAGGAGGAAAGCUUCACUGUCUCUCACCCUCUCUAUCCCUCCCUUCCCUCUCAAUUUUGAUGGUCUCUGUCCUAUAAAUAAAUAAAAAUAAUUUUAAAAAAGAAA